rnacentral:tRNA from 1 species
CGGGAUGUAGCGCAGCUUGGUAGCGCAUCUGGUUUGGGACCAGAGGGUCGUGGGUUCAAAUCCUACCAUCCCGACCA